GCGUCGACGGGUAGCCGGCCUGAGAGGGUGACCGGCCACACUGGGACUGAGACACGGCCCAGACUCCUACGGGAGGCAGCAGUGGGGAAUAUUGCACAAUGGGCGCAAGCCUGAUGCAGCAACGCCGCGUGCGGGAUGACGGCCUUCGGGUUGUAAACCGCUUUUAGUAAGGAAGAAGGGGAGCUUGCUCCUUGACGGUACUUGCAGAAAAAGGACCGGCUAACUACGUGCCAGCAGCCGCGGUAAUACGUAGGGUCCGAGCGUUGUCCGGAAUUAUUGGGCGUAAAGAGCUCGUAGGCGGUUUGUCGCGUCUGCUGUGAAAUCCCGAGGCUCAACCUCGGGUCUGCAGUGGGUACGGGCAGACUGGAGUGCGGUAGGGGAGAAUGGAAUUCCUGGUGUAGCGGUGGAAUGCGCAGAUAUCAGGAGGAACACCGAUGGCGAAGGCAGUUCUCUGGGCCGUAACUGACGCUGAGGAGCGAAAGCGUGGGGAGCGAACAGGAUUAGAUACCCUGGUAGUCCACGCCGUAAACGUUGGGCGCUAGAUGUGGGGACCUUUCCACGGUUUCCGUGUCGUAGCUAACGCAUUAAGCGCCCCGCC
rnacentral:rRNA from 1 species